rnacentral:misc_RNA from 1 species
GAUUAAGAACGUAGCGAAAUGCGAUAAGUAGUGUGAAUUGCAGAAUUCAGUGAAUCAUCGAAUCUUUGAACGCACAUUGCGCCUUCUAGUAUUCUGGGAGGCAUGCCUGUUUGAGCGUCAUUAAACCUCUCUCAAGUAUGAUUACUUGGAUGUGAAGGAAGAGUACCUUAAACUUAAGGAGUGUUCUCCUUUGAAAUUGAUUAGCAGAUGGUAAUGUUAUUAAAUCCCUGAUGUUGUAAGAAAUGACAGUGGUUUUGUAGACUAUUAUCUAGCUUUAAAUUAUAAUUUUUAUUAUGGUUGACCUCAAAUCAGGUAAGGAUACCCGCUGAACUUAAGCAUAUCAAUAAGCGGAGGA